UACGUAGGGUGCGAGCGUUAAUCGGAAUUACUGGGCGUAAAGCGUGCGCAGGCGGUCUCGUAAGCUGGGUGUGAAAGCCCCGGGCUUAACCUGGGAAUGGCAUUCAGGACUGCGAGGCUCGAGUGUGGCAGAGGGAGGUGGAAUUCCACGUGUAGCAGUGAAAUGCGUAGAGAUCGGGAGGAACAUCAGUUGCGAAGGCGGCUCUCUGGACCAGCACUGACACUGAGGCACGAAAGCGUGGGGAGCAAACAGGA
rnacentral:rRNA from 1 species